rnacentral:rRNA from 1 species
ACGGCUCAGUAACACGUGGACAACCUACCCUCAGCACGGGGAUAAACCCGGGAAACUGGGUAUAAUACCCGAUAGUUCUGGUUUGCUGGAAUGCUUCCAGGACGAAAGCUCCGGCGACUGAGGAUGGGUCUGCGGCCUAUCAGGUAGUAGUGGGUGUAAUGUACCUACUAGCCUACGACGGGUACGGGUCGUGAGAGCGAGAGCCCGGAGAUGGAUUCUGAGACACGAAUCCAGGCCCUACGGGGUGCAGCAGGCGCGAAAACUUUACAAUGCUGGCAACAGCGAUAAGGGGACCUCGAGUGCCAGGAUACAAUCUUGGCUGUCGUAAUGCCUAAAAAGCAUUGCAUAGCAAGGGCCGGGCAAGACCGGUGCCAGCCGCCGCGGUAACACCGGCGGCUCGAGUGGUAACCGCUAUUAUUGGGUCUAAAGGGUCUGUAGCCGGCCGGAUAAGUCUUUUGGGAAAUCCAGCUGCUCAACAGUUGGGCUUUCAGAAGAUACUGUUCGGCUCGAGGCCGGGAGAGGUGAGAGGUACUUCAGGGGUAGGGGUGAAAUCUUGUAAUCCUUGAAGGACCACCAGUGGCGAAGGCGUCUCACCAGAACGGACCUGACGGCAAGGGACGAAAGCUAGGGGCACGAACCGGAUUAGAUACCCGGGUAGUCCUAGCCGUAAACGAUGCUCGCUAGGUGUCACAACAGUCGUGAAUUGUUGUGGUGCCGUAGGGAAGCCGUGAAGCGAGCCACUUGGGAAGUACGACCGCAAGGUUGAAACUUAAAGGAAUUGGCGGGGGAG